rnacentral:rRNA from 1 species
AACGAACGCUGGUGGCAUGCCUAACACAUGCAACUCGAACGAGACCUUCGGGUCUAGUGGCGCACGGGUGCGUAACGCGUGGGAACCUGCCCUUAGGUUCGGAAUAACUCCCCGAAAGGGGUGCUAAUACCGGAUAAUGUCUUCGGACCAAAGAUUUAUCGCCUUUGGAUGGGCCCGCGUUGGAUUAGCUAGUUGGUAGGGUAAAAGCCUACCAAGGCGACGAUCCAUAGCUGGUCUGAGAGGAUGAUCAGCCACACUGGGACUGAGACACGGCCCAGACUCCUACGGGAGGCAGCAGUGGGGAAUAUUGGACAAUGGGCGAAAGCCUGAUCCAGCAAUGCCGCGUGAGUGAUGAAGGCCUUAGGGUUGUAAAGCUCUUUUACCCGGGAUGAUAAUGACAGUACCGGGAGAAUAAGCUCCGGCUAACUCCGUG